GGGUCAGUAGGUUGGUCGUGCCACCGGUACGUACUGGUCUCACUGAUUCCUCCUUCCUGAAGAACCGUAAUGCCAUUAAUUUGGUGUUGCGGGGAAACAGGACUGUUACUUUGAAAAAAUUAGAGUUUUUAAAGCCAGCUAACGCUUGAAUACAUUAGCAUGGAAUAAUGAAAUAGGACGAUCGAUCCUAUUUUGUUGGUUUCUAGGAUUGACGUA
rnacentral:rRNA from 1 species